rnacentral:rRNA from 1 species
CCUACGGGGUGCAGCAGUGGGGGAUAUUGGUCAAUGGACGAGAGUCUGAACCAGCCAAGUAGCGUGAAGGAUGACUGCCCUAUGGGUUGUAAACUUCUUUUAUAUGGGAAUAAAAUGUUCCACGUGUGGGAUUUUGUAUGUACCAUAUGAAUAAGGAUCGGCUAACUCCGUGCCAGCAGCCGCGGUAAUACGGAGGAUCCGAGCGUUAUCCGGAUUUAUUGGGUUUAAAGGGAGCGUAGGUGGAUUGUUAAGUCAGUUGUGAAAGUUUGCGGCUCAACCGUAAAAUUGCAGUUGAAACUGGCAGUCUUGAGUACAGUAGAGGUGGGCGGAAUUCGUGGUGUAGCGGUGAAAUGCUUAGAUAUCACGAAGAACUCCGAUUGCGAAGGCAGUUCACUGGACUGCAACUGACACUGAGGCUCGAAAGUGUGGGUAUCAAACAGGAUUAGAUACCCUUGUAGUC